GAAGCUGCUUCUCCCAGAGCCACAUCACACCAGAAGCAGGCUUUGCUCAACUGACUGCCACUCCCUCAAGGGAAGGGAGCCCUACUGUUCAUCUUGGCAACCCUGGCAGCAAGAGAGACCCAAGACCACUGCAAGAUGGUGUCUAGAGCCCUCCCUGAGAAUCAGAAAGCAUUUUCUGGUCUCAUCCACAUCCCCUUGACUUCAGAGGAAGGCCUAGUCCUUGUGAGUGAUGCUUCAGAAGGACAUAUAACCAGAUCGCUCUGCCCUGAAGCAGAAAGUGGACAGGUGUGCCAAGAAAACUCCCUGCCCCACUGGAUGGCACCAAGUGGAACCAUGAAGCAGAAGCCAGUGCAAAACAGUAAAUAAACUGUGGUGUAAUGGCCUGGCCAGACAACACUUGGGAUUAGGGAAGGCAGG